GACGAACGCUGGCGGCGUGCUUAACACAUGCAAGUCGAACGAAGAGCGAUGGAAGCUUGCUUCUAUCAAUCUUAGUGGCGAACGGGUGAGUAACGCGUAAUCAACCUGCCCUUCAGAGGGGGACAACAGUUGGAAACGACUGCUAAUACCGCAUACGAUCUAAUCUCGGCAUCGAGGAUAGAUGAAAGGUGGCCUCUACAUGUAAGCUAUCACUGAAGGAGGGGAUUGCGUCUGAUUAGCUAGUUGGAGGGGUAACGGCCCACCAAGGCGAUGAUCAGUAGCCGGUCUGAGAGGAUGAACGGCCACAUUGGGACUGAGACACGGCCCAGACGCCUACGGGAGGCAGCAGUGGGGAAUCUUCCGAAAUGGACGAAAGUCUGACGGAGCAACGCCGCGUGAGUGAUGACGGCCUUCGGGUUGUAAAGCUCUGUUAAUCGGGACGAAAGGCCUUCUUGCGAACAGUUAGAAGGAUUGACGGUACCGGAAGAGAAAGCCACGGCUAACUACGUG
rnacentral:rRNA from 1 species